GGAGGAAUACCCAAGUCCGGCUGAAGGGAUCGGUCUUGAAAACCGACAGGCGGGUCAAACCGCGCGGGGGUUCGAAUCCCUCUUCCUCCGCCA
rnacentral:tRNA from 1 species